GCCCAGAAGACACACUUGGCCUCCAGCAGGCUGGGCCAUGCAGAAGGGAUAGCAGGGGUACACUCCCUUUGAACCUGGAGAGAGGGCCUUACCCUUGAAGCAUUACUGAGAGGGUGAAAUGAGAACAGAAAUGGGCUUGGGGAGCCACACGCUGCCAGCUCCAAAUUCCCAAGGACAAGGAUCCCUCUGCAUUUUUGUCUAUAUGUAUAGACAAAUAUAAGACAUAUUAUAGACAUAUUGAACCUCUCAUAUGGGCUGCAUUCAGCUACGAGGCAAGGAAACCUUGGUUGCAGUGGUUUAAAGAAGCAGAAGAUGGAUUUUCUACAUAGCAUGGAUUCUGGAGAUGGGUGGCUGACGGUUGGUUCGGCAGCUCCAUGAUGAUAAGGGCCCAAUCUUGGAUCCUCUGCCUUGCUCGCAGUGCAUGUUCCUUCAUGGUCCCAAGACAGCUGCUGUAGCUCUAAGAAUCAUGUGUGGAUUCAAGGAAGGAGGGGUAGAGGAAGAGGAAGGGCCAAACUAGUUGGACCUGUCACCUUUUUUUUUUUUUUUUUUUGGAGACGGAGUCUCACUCUGUUGGGCCUCCCAAAGUGUUGGGAUUACAGGCAUGAGCCACCACACCCGGCCAGACCUGUCACCUUCUAUCAGAAAGUAAAACCUUGGUUAGAAGCCUGUUUCUUGCUGUCUCCUCCUGCAUAUUUUCACUUAGCUGCCCUUGGUUUGAGCCAGCUACCACUGCACCUCUAGCUGCAGAGAAAGCUAAAACAGCAGGGAACAGAAUUGUCAUGAUUGAAUACACCAGUCAUGUUUCAUCUACUGAGACUGGCACUCUGCCUUCUGCAAUAAAACUGAGAUCCCAUUACCAUGAGAGAAAAGUGGAUUUGUGUACCAGUUAGCUUCUGCUGUGUAACAAACCAUCCCCAAACCUGGCAGCUAAAAACAGAUCCUUUAUUUGCCCACAAUUCUGUGGGUUGGCAAUUUGGGCUGGGCUCAGCUGGGCAGUUCUGCUGCUCCCACCAGGAGUCCCUCAUGGAGCUAAUGUCAGCUGUUACCUCAACUGGGCCUGGAUGAUCUACAAUAGCCUUACUCACUUGCCUGGCAGGUGACAGGCUGUUGGCUGGAGUUGCUUGGUUCUCCUCAAUGUGGCCUCUCCAGCAGGCUAGCUCAGGCUGAUUCACAUGAUGGCUUCAAGGUUCCAAGGGAGUGAGAGUAGAAGCUGAAAGACUUCUUGGGUUCUUGGCCUGGAACUGGGACUAGGACAAUGUCACUACUGCUAAGUUCUUUUGGUCAGAGCAAAUCACAAGGCUUUGCCCAGAUUCAACAGAUGAGAAACACUCCAUGUCUUGAUGAGUGGAACCACAAGGAGCUUGUGGCCAUUUUUCACCUAUCACAAAUUAUUUUGGAUGGGCAAAUAAAAGUAUUUCCCUCUUCUCCCUUUCUCUCUCUCUCUGUGUUUCAUGGGGCCUCACUCUGCCAAGUUUGAAGGCACUAAGACAUUGUCCCUCAGGGUCUAGGGGAAGAGGUGUUGGGGCAGGAAGUGAGUCUCUCCAAGGGCUGGACCCUCUGUAGUAGGGGUACUUCCUUGUCUGCACUGGUGGUACAGGGUUAGGCCAGCUACGAUGUUCCAGAGGGGCUUCUGAAAACCAAGAGUCUCCGGGGAAAGGGAACAGAGUAAGGCAGACCUUGUUCUCACUGCCCUCUAAGGGAACUUGGUCACUUGGCACUUUUAAGCCUCAGUUUCCCCAGUUCAAUAAUAAGGACAACAGCUUUUCUCACCCACUCUCUUUCCAGGGGAAGGAUGACAGAGGUGAGCAGUAACAGAACUGAAAAGGGAGAGCGUCCUCAAUGCAGUGUGGUAUUCUGGACUGGAUCUUGGAAUCAAAAUGACAUUAGUGGGAAAAUUGGAAAUUUGAAGCAAGUCUGAAUUUUAGUUAAUAUAUCAAUUUCAGUCUCGGUUUUGCCAAAUGUACCAUGGUGAAGUAAGAUGCGGACCUUCCAGUAUGCUGGGUGAAGGGUAUACAGGAACUGUUUGUACUGUCUCUACAACUUUUCUGUAAAUCUAAUAUUCCAAAAUAAAAGUUUUUUAAA